GGGGUUUGUUUGUUCCGCUAAGCCCUGCAUUAUUCAAGGGUCAACUGUAGCAGGAACUGCUGUUCCCAUUGCAUAAUAGGAAUUAUUAAUGUCCCAUAUUACAGAGGAGGGAAGGAGGGUGAGAGUGGCUAAAUCACUUGCCCAGGUUCUCGCCUAUUCAGAAGUAGAACCAGGAUCUCCCAAGUUCCAGUGGGAGAUCUCGUCACCGAUGAAGCCCCUUUUGCACCGUGCAGGAAUAUACCUAGGCAGAGUGAAAAGCUCAAGAGUUUUGCUGUUAGACCUGGAUCAAAUUCCAGCUUUGCCAUAUCCCAAGGAGUCCUAGUUUUCCUGUCUUUAAAAUGGCAACAACAACAAAAUCUGUCUCACAAGUUUCUGGGAGGGGUGAAAUGAAAUGAACUAGGAUAGAAAGCCCUGGCAGGCAUGCAACAGAGACUUGGUCAGGUAACCUUGGUUCUUUCCCACAGUCUGGCUCUCCUUUUUGCCCCCUGGAUUGGCCACACCUGCUCUCACCUCUGAGCCCUUGCUCAUGCUGUUCUCUCUGGUUAUAAAUCCCUCCCUGUCUCCUCCUCUUAUCUCACUCAAAACCCAGCUGAGAUUUCAGCAUUUCCAUGCAGACUCCUCCCUUAUACCUGUUCUUCUUUCCGCACUUGGGACUCUGCCAGCACUUGGCAUUUAAUCAGCCACAGUGGAUUUAAGUGUUUCACUUGUGAGUGGCUUAUCUCCCACAUUACACUAGAUAUUCCUUGAGGGCACUGACCAGCCUCCUGCAUCCGUCCGUCAGCUUGGCCCAGCCACAGCUCUGUCUCUUCUUGGUGAGUGGCUCUGGGCACUUGCCCCUUCCCAUCACUGUGCCUAAUCCCUCUCCUGUACACGGUGGGGACCACUGGAGGAGCUCUGGAGACUCCCUCUUGUGAACAUUAGUGACUGCUUACUUACCAGGACUCCAAAAUGGUCCCCAGCUUGCUUCAGAGAGCUCACAGCCAAGAUGACAAGUGAGACCAUCAACCAUCAGUCCACUACCACCCUCAUAUCAUUGUUUUAUAUGUAUGAGAACCACCAUCAUCAUGGCAGUUACCUCCAAUUCAGCACCUUUUACAGAUCAUCACCAGGUGCCGGGGGAGACUGAGGCAGAAGAAUCGCUUGAACCCAGAAGGUGGAGGUUGCAGUGAGCAGAGAUCGCGCCACUGCCCUCCAACCAGGGUGACAGAGCGAGACUCCGUCUCAAAAAAAAGAAAAAAAGAAAAGAAAGAAAGAAAAGAAAAGAGACAAAAUGGCAGAGUCUGACCUUCGGACCUUCGGGGCACUCUGCUGGAAAAGCGAUGAUGGGCAUGUGCACCACUUCCUAAACACAUUGCGCAUGCUCACCUCCGGAGGCUUCUCACUCAGCUGCCAUGCAUUGACUUCCCUGUUGAUCCAGCCUACUGCGGACCCAAAUAUUCCUGUUGCCAGAUAGGAGGGAUGAGUAAUGGAGACUCCAGUCCUCAGAGACCUUGAUCAAGUAAAGCAAAAACCCCUUCCUCCACUUUCUUUGCAAGUGGCUAAACCCUUAGUCACUCUGGGAAGAAAAGUAAACUGAAAACUUGAAAAAGUCCCAAGACAGAAUCUAACUCCAUCCCCUGCCCCAGAUAAAAAGCAAGAUAGCACAACUAUAGCAACCUUUUAAGUCAAAUUAAAUGAGCUAAUAAAAAUCAGGCCUGUUCAAGUGCCCAAUUGAUUUAAACAUGAAGAUUGUCAGUUUCCAGCAUCACUGAUUCUAAUCCAACAACCCUCACCAUAGAGGUCUUCAUUCAGCCUGCUGUGUUUGGAGGUUUUGCUUAUUGGGUGUGUAUCUGUAAGGUAAAUCUUGACGAUUUCCUUACUACAGACAAUUAUCUGGCUGGAGAUGUC
rnacentral:lncRNA from 1 species